GUAGUCGCAAUUAGCUGCCCAGCCCAUAAGUGUCGCACACAAAGGAGCUUUUUAACUACAGAUCUUUCACAGAUUUUUGCGCUGACGAGAUGGUUAUAGAAACAGCACAACAAUUUUUCUCAGCAGUGAAGGGAGGGCUUGAGAAUAAUCCUCUGGCUUCAAACAUCGGUUUUGGACUGAUCCUUUUCUGCUUUGAGAAAAUUGUAGAGUUGGAGUUUGUUUGUCCCUGUCAGUCGACACUGAAUGCCGUCUCUGUGUUGUCAUUUUUAUCAGCUCCAGCAUUGAUCGUCUUUACGCUCAUGCUUAGUACUAAAAAUCCGUGUAAAUCAUGUCUGGAAAAUUUCCUUCGUGGUUUAGUUCCUGCUGUAACAUGGUGUGUAAUAGUGUUAAUAGAUGGUCGUUAUUAUGCCUGUUUUUGGACCAACUGGACAGGAAAAUAUGAAAUUAGUCAGAGCGAGACUGCUUACCCUCUGAAAUGGUGUAACCCAGCUAAUGUAUCUCAGAAGGAGAGCCAGACUCUGGUGUGGUACUCCAAGUCACAGGUCAUUGGACUCUGGGUUGCAGUUGGUCUGACUGCAGUUUUUAAGCUCUAUUUGUUCUGCAUGUCCUUCUGCUGCAAACAUCAAGAAAGAACAGACGAUGGAAAUGCCUCUGAAAACGUCCCUCUCUAGUAAGCGAACAGCGAAUGACAGAAAUUCAGAAAACAAUCACAUUUGGGGGGAGGGUGGACAACCAAUUUGAACAGUCAGGCAUAAUGCAGAAACUCUAGAGUAAUGUUAAAAUAUCUUCCAGUUGGAGGCAAACAAUUAUUCAACUGCUAUUGUGGAUAAUAAAACAUUUGUAAGGUAUACUAAAUUUACUUCUAGUUAUAACAAAACAAAGUCUCUACUUUCAAAAUGUUAUGUUAAAUGGUUUGUUAGAAUAUUAAUGCAUAAUAUUUCUUGUUUAGAUCAUUUAUUGUAUUAUACAUUUUAACUUACUUUUUUGUUUCUUAAACAUAUUUACAUUGUAUUCUGUAUAAUUUUGAAAUCAUCAUAUUCCAGUUAAAGCUGUUGUUGCCCUGUAACAGAGUCUCUCUUCCAUAUGUCUAGCUUCAUGCUUUGGGUGUGGCUUCCUGUUGAACCUGAGCGUACAGCUAAACAAAUCUACUUAUUCAAAUUCUCCAUUGUUUCGGGAAAGUUUUAAAUUUAUUCCUGUUUAUUUCUUUACUUUCAUUUUCCAAGUUCCAGUACACCAGUGUAACAGAGAGAAAGGUGUGUAUGAAUGUAUAUGUGAAUUUUAAUGAUAAUAAUAGUGUGUGUGUGUGUUUGUAAUGAGAUUUUUGAACCAUGUGUUUGGAGCCACCUAGUGGUGUGAUGAGUGACUGCACGCAACGGGUCCUUCAGGCGCUCUCGGCUUCCCCACCAGAGUUCCUGAGGACCGCUGGUGGAGGAAGGUGCGAGAGAGGCAGCUCUUCGCUAUUUUUCUUUUUUUUUUUUUACUUGGGUCAUAUUUUUCUAGUUCAACAAUUAACGAAAUACUGUAAGAUCAUUUAACAUUUACAAAUAUAAUUUAUAAAGGUUUCUCCUGGUUGGGAAGAAAAAAUAUGACCCUAUGAGUGAGAGCUGCGCCAGUUGGUGUUUGUGGCUGACCAUUCGGUCACGACACUAACUGUGUCUUUUGUUUUCAGCUGUUGAACCACUUGCAUGCAGUCAGUCACAUUGUGAGAGUUUCAUUUUGUAUCGCACUAGGUGGGUUGAAAGUAUAUAGUUAUGAGUAUAUAUAUAUAUAUAUAUAUAUAUAUAUAUAUAUGUAGCCUAUAUUUAGAAAAAAAAAUGUUUGUGAAUGUAACUGUUCACUGCUAUGGCAGUUGUCUGUUAUUUUACUGUUUGAUUCAUGGAAUAAGAAUGUUUUGUUUUGAGGAAUUGUUAACUGUCUUAUUGUUUAAACUAUAUGAUCACAUCUAAAAAAAAGAGAAAAAUAAAGAAUUCUGAGGAACGCAGUUGGAACUAUUGGA